UACGGAGGGUGCAAGCGUUGUCCGGAUUUAUUGGGUUUAAAGGGUGCGUAGGCGGCCGAUUAAGUCUGGGGUGAAAGCCCGUUGCUCAACAACGGAACUGCCCUGGAAACUGGUCGGCUUGAGUACAGACGAGGGUGGCGGAAUGGAUGCUGUAGCGGUGAAAUGCAUAGAUAGCAUCCAGAACCCCCGAUUGCGAAGCA
rnacentral:rRNA from 1 species